rnacentral:rRNA from 2 species
UUAAAUUGAAGAGUUUGAUCAUGGCUCAGAUUGAACGCUGGCGGCAGGCCUAACACAUGCAAGUCGAACGGUAACAGGAAGCAGCUUGCUGCUUUGCUGACGAGUGGCGGACGGGUGAGUAAUGUCUGGGAAACUGCCUGAUGGAGGGGGAUAACUACUGGAAACGGUGGCUAAUACCGCAUAACGUCGCAAGACCAAAGAGGGGGACCUUCGGGCCUCUUGCCAUCAGAUGUGCCCAGAUGGGAUUAGCUAGUUGGUGAGGUAACGGCUCACCAAGGCGACGAUCCCUAGCUGGUCUGAGAGGAUGACCAGCCACACUGGAACUGAGACACGGUCCAGACUCCUACGGGAGGCAGCAGUGGGGAAUAUUGCACAAUGGGCGCAAGCCUGAUGCAGCCAUGCCGCGUGUAUGAAGAAGGCCUUCGGGUUGUAAAGUACUUUCAGCGGGGAGGAAGGUGUUGUGGUUAAUAACCGCAGCAAUUGACGUUACCCGCAGAAGAAGCACCGGCUAACUCCGUGCCAGCAGCCGCGGUAAUACGGAGGGUGCAAGCGUUAAUCGGAAUUACUGGGCGUAAAGCGCACGCAGGCGGUCUGUCAAGUCGGAUGUGAAAUCCCCGGGCUCAACCUGGGAACUGCAUUCGAAACUGGCAGGCUUGAGUCUUGUAGAGGGGGGUAGAAUUCCAGGUGUAGCGGUGAAAUGCGUAGAGAUCUGGAGGAAUACCGGUGGCGAAGGCGGCCCCCUGGACAAAGACUGACGCUCAGGUGCGAAAGCGUGGGGAGCAAACAGGAUUAGAUACCCUGGUAGUCCACGCCGUAAACGAUGUCUACUUGGAGGUUGUGCCCUUGAGGCGUGGCUUCCGGAGCUAACGCGUUAAGUAGACCGCCUGGGGAGUACGGCCGCAAGGUUAAAACUCAAAUGAAUUGACGGGGGCCCGCACAAGCGGUGGAGCAUGUGGUUUAAUUCGAUGCAACGCGAAGAACCUUACCUGGUCUUGACAUCCACAGAAGAAUCCAGAGAUGGAUUUGUGCCUUCGGGAACUGUGAGACAGGUGCUGCAUGGCUGUCGUCAGCUCGUGUUGUGAAAUGUUGGGUUAAGUCCCGCAACGAGCGCAACCCUUAUCCUUUGUUGCCAGCGGUUAGGCCGGGAACUCAAAGGAGACUGCCAGUGAUAAACUGGAGGAAGGUGGGGAUGACGUCAAGUCAUCAUGGCCCUUACGACCAGGGCUACACACGUGCUACAAUGGCGCAUACAAAGAGAAGCGACCUCGCGAGAGCAAGCGGACCUCAUAAAGUGCGUCGUAGUCCGGAUUGGAGUCUGCAACUCGACUCCAUGAAGUCGGAAUCGCUAGUAAUCGUGGAUCAGAAUGCCACGGUGAAUACGUUCCCGGGCCUUGUACACACCGCCCGUCACACCAUGGGAGUGGGUUGCAAAAGAAGUAGGUAGCUUAACCUUCGGGAGGGCGCUUACCACUUUGUGAUUCAUGACUGGGGUGAAGUCGUAACAAGGUAACCGUAGGGGAACCUGCGGUUGGAUCACCUCCUUACCUUAAAGAAGC